AACGUAGGAGACAAACGUUAUCCGGAGUUACUGGGCGUAAAGGGCUCGUAGGCGGCUUUUCAAGUGACGGGUGAAAUCCCUCGGCUUAACCGAGGAACUGCCUGUCAGACUGGAAGGCUUGAGACCGGGAGAGGUGAGUGGAAUUCCCAGUGUAGCGGUGAAAUGCGUAGAUAUUGGGAGGAACACCAGUGGCGAAGGCGGCUCACUGGACCGGAACUGACGCUGAGGCGCGAAAGCGUGGGGAGCAAACAGG
rnacentral:rRNA from 1 species